UACGGAGGGUGCGAGCGUUGUCCGGAAUCACUGGGCGUAAAGGGCGCGUAGGUGGCCCGACAAGUCAACGGUGAAAGCUCGGCGCUCAACGCCGAGUCGGCCGUCGAUACUGUGGGGCUGGAGCACUGUAGAGGCAGAUGGAAUUCCGGGUGUAGCGGUGGAAUGCGUAGAGAUCCGGAAGAACACCGGUGGCGAAGGCGGUCUGCUGGGCAGUAGCUGGCACUGAGGCGCGACAGCGUGGGGAGCAAACAGG
rnacentral:rRNA from 1 species